rnacentral:tRNA from 1 species
UAUAUAUAAGUGUUAAAAUUAUGCACAAAAAAUUUUGAAUUUUUAAGAUUUAAUUUAUAUUAAAAUAUAUAA